rnacentral:rRNA from 1 species
CACUAUCAUUAACUGAAUCCAUAGGUUAAUGAGGCGAACCGGGGGAACUGAAACAUCUAAGUACCCCGAGGAAAAGAAAUCAACCGAGAUUCCCCCAGUAGCGGCGAGCGAACGGGGAGGAGCCCAGAGCCUGAAUCAGUGUGUGUGUUAGUGGAAGCGUCUGGAAAGGCGCGCGAUACAGGGUGACAGCCCCGUACACAAAAAUGCACAUGCUGUGAGCUCGAUGAGUAGGGCGGGACACGUGGUAUCCUGUCUGAAUAUGGGGGGACCAUCCUCCAAGGCUAAAUACUCCUGACUGACCGAUAGUGAACCAGUACCGUGAGGGAAAGGCGAAAAGAACCCCGGCGAGGGGAGUGAAAAAGAACCUGAAACCGUGUACGUACAAGCAGUGGGAGCCUCUUUAUGGGGUGACUGCGUACCUUUUGUAUAAUGGGUCAGCGACUUAUAUUCUGUAGCAAGGUUAACCGAAUAGGGGAGCCGAAGGGAAACCGAGUCUUAACUGGGCGUUAAGUUGCAGGGUAUAGACCCGAAACCCGGUGAUCUAGCCAUGGGCAGGUUGAAGGUUGGGUAACACUAACUGGAGGACCGAACCGACUAAUGUUGAAAAAUUAGCGGAUGACUUGUGGCUGGGGGUGAAAGGCCAAUCAAACCGGGAGAUAGCUGGUUCUCCCCGAAAGCUAUUUAGGUAGCGCCUCGUGAAUUCAUCUCCGGGGGUAGAGCACUGUUUCGGCAAGGGGGUCAUCCCGACUUACCAACCCGAUGCAAACUGCGAAUACCGGAGAAUGUUAUCACGGGAGACACACGGCGGGUGCUAACGUCCGUCGUGAAGAGGGAAACAACCCAGACCGCCAGCUAAGGUCCCAAAGUCAUGGUUAAGUGGGAAACGAUGUGGGAAGGCCCAGACAGCCAGGAUGUUGGCUUAGAAGCAGCCAUCAUUUAAAGAAAGCGUAAUAGCUCACUGGUCGAGUCGGCCUGCGCGGAAGAUGUAACGGGGCUAAACCAUGCACCGAAGCUACGGCAGCGACGCUUAUGCGUUGUUGGGUAGGGGAGCGUUCUGUAAGCCUGCGAAGGUGUGCUGUGAGGCAUGCUGGAGGUAUCAGAAGUGCGAAUGCUGACAUAAGUAACGAUAAAGC